CCCUCAGCUAUAUUUGUCCCUCCCCCAUCAUCUCUCCCCCUCUCUUUCCACUCUCCGUAUCAAAGCCCGGGGGAGCCAGCAGAGAUUAAAUGUAGCCUCUAUAAGCCAAGCACAUCAUGUAGCUAUGUUUCUAUGGCCUGCUCUCUCUCGCCCCUCUCUCUUGCUCUCUUUCUGCUCUCUCUCUCUCCCCUCUCAUUCUCUUUUUGAAGGAUAGUGUUAAUGAUGUCGGGCAUGUGUGAGGUAGUGAGGCAGUGAGUGAGAAAGAGCGAGAGAGAGCGAGAGAGAGAAAGAGAGAAAACGAGAGACGGAGAGGGAGGGAGGGAAAGUGAGAGAGAACGUAUGAGACAGAGAGGAUACAUGCAAGAAGAAAAUCAAGGAAAACUGAGGAUUUGUUGACGGGAAACGGACUUAACUAAAACACUGAAAAGGUGGAAAAGCAAGAGGCGGCCGACUUUCUCAUUCCUCCUCCUCCUCCUCCUCCUCCUCUCCCUCCGCCUCCUCCUCCUCUCUCUCUGUCUCUAUCUGUCUCUCUGGCUGAUACAGCAGAGAAGUGGGCCUCUUGCUUUAAAUUAUUACAGCUGUACAGGCAAAUUAAUGGAUGAUAUUUCAAAAUUUAUUUGGAAAAGCAUUUUUUCAUCUCCUGCCUUUCAACACAGAUGCAUGAAGACGAGAGCGGGGGACCUGGGAUUCAGUUUUAUUUUUUCCUUUCUCCUUUCUUCCAAUUUUGCAUGUGUUUCUGUUCUGCACUGAGAGAGAGAGGGAGAGAGACAGAGUGAGAGAGAGAGAGAGAGAGAGAGAGAGAGAGAGAGAGAGGGGGGUGAAAGAAAAAAAUGUAUCAAUGUUAGCGAGGGAAGCAGAACAGCAGCAACAUCCAUUGAUGCAUUUUGUCUUUUAAUUAGUUUGGAUAUUUUUUUUGCUCUUGUGACAUAUAUGACAACAAACUAUACAUUUUCUUCUAACCUGAACUGGAUAUGAAAUAGGGACAUACAACCAAGUUAACAGCAGCGAAACAAAGCAACAAGGGACAAGGGUUGCUGCCUCCUCAUUCCGAACCAGACGUGGGCUCUCGGGAGCUGGGAGUGGUGCGCUGUCGUCCCGUCCGUGGCUCUCUCUGCAAGACAAAGGCGUUUCAGACUGUCAAACGUACAUAGACACUAUAUUGUCGGAGAAGGAAAACCGUCUGGAAAGAAAAGGGGGAAAAGGUUAGCUGGAAUCAGGCGGCAGUGUGUGUGGGGGGGGGUUGAAGGAAUGCCGGCUCGAGGGUCAUGUGACACAAUGGUGGGUUGAAAUCAGCUGAGGAAUCUUUGUGGUGGGGUGGAAGAUGGAGGGGGGAGCUUGCGUUACCAAGCUAACAUUACUAAUCCUGGACUUUAAGCUAACGUUACCAAUCCUGGACAUGUGAACGUUUAAGCUAACGUUACCAAUCCUGGACAUGUGAACGUUUAAGCUAACGUUACCAAUCCUGGACAUGUGAACGUUUAAGCUAACGUUACCAAUCCUGGACAUGUGAACGUUUAAGCUAACGUUACCAAUCCUGGACAUGUGAACGUUUAAGCUAAUGUUACCAAUCCUGGACAUGUCUCUGAGGCCCACAAAAAAAUAAAACUAGUCACUGGCCCAGUCUGUUCUGUUAUUCCUUUGUCUUUCCUCUGACAACUGGGAAAGUGGUUUCUUUCUGUUUCUGUCCAUGUCUUAUUCUGUCUUGAGAGCAGCACAAAGUACUGUGGAGAGCGUGAAGGUAUAACAGCUCGGUAUACUUGUGUUUGACCUCACUGAGCCCUCGUCUUCAUGCACACAUGCGUGCACACACACAUACACACACAAGGUAGCGUGUGCGUAGACAGUACGUUCGUAGGGGUUUGUAUAUCAGAGAGCCUGUAUGUUAGCAGUUAUUACCAUGUCACAUUGAGCCUGUAUGUUAGCAGUUAUUACCAUGUCACAUUGAGUCUGUAUGUUAGCAGUUAUUACCAUGUCACGGAUGUAGUGUAACCUUUUUUAACGGAGCAGCUAGCAAAUUCUAGUGUAUCUGCUAAACUACUUAAAAUAACUGCAAGUCUGUUGGGUUUGAACUUGCUUUAGGGACAGCAAACUGAACAGCUCACACCCAGCUUCUGAUAGCAACGGGGCUAACAUGCUUAGGGCUAACAUACAUGUUUUGUUUGCAUUCUGCUCUUGACUAUUUACAGUCCUCAUUAACAUGAUCUAUUGUCAACAAUCCUUGCUGUGAUUAGGCUAGCAUCAUGCUAAUAAAAGCACUGUGGAUUCUCCCUCCCUCUGUGAGCCAUGCUGGAAGGUAGAUAAACUGUGUUUCAGAACAGCGACUCCAUUAUAGCCUCGGCCCAUCCCCUCAUUGCUGCACUGGCCCAUCCCCUCAUUGCUGCACUGGCCCAUCCCCUCAUUGCUGCGCUGCAGGAGUACGUUCCUCCUCUCACUGCUAACCUCUUUGUGCUGGCUGUGUAAAAUGGCACCCUUUCAGGACUCCUCACCAGUGUGACAGUAUGCGUAAGGACUUAGUGCUCCAGAACAGUAACCCUCAGUCUAAUAUCCCUACACCGGCCGACGUGUUUAAACGUGUGAUUAUUUCUUCUGUACUACUAUAACUAACUAUAGCAUAGAUGCAAUAACAGCAGCUGCCCCUGUGAGAUGCGUGUGUGUGUGUGUGUGUGUGUGUGUGUGUGUGUGUGUGUGUGUGUGUGUGUGUGUGUGUGUGUGUGUGUGUGUGUGUGUGUGUGUGUGUGUGUGUGUGUGUGUUGCUCUGGUCUGGUGUGUCGUUAACUGGUAGCGCACUGCAGUGUGGGCAAUCCUGGGUAACAAGCAGCCUCAUCCAUGUACCAUGUGGCACACAUAGCUCAGCCCUGGGUCAGACAUUCUCACCACUAACUUAUUAACAGAGAAAGUCUAGCAUGUUUUAAAUCUGCAUUGUUGAUUCACACACAAUGGUUCAGUGUGGUUCGAGGGGAGAGUGAAAUGUGUGAAAUGUAGCAUUUCUUUUUGCUGCAACACUGUGUUGGGGUUAUAGUGCUAUAAGGUGUAGAUUUGCACUGUAAAGGUCUAGUUCAGGUAACUGUUUCGUCUUUGAGGGUUUUUCUGGGUCACUCGACGGACUAAACUGGGUUUCUAAUAGAAAUCUUUGCUCGUCUGUUCUUGCUAGAGCGCUCUCCUUGUAUAAAAAAGGAAACCUAUUUCGAGCCUCCACCUCAGCCCUGUGACAAACAGUUUUAUUUGUUCAGCUUGGUAAGCAAACAGCAGCGCUGAGGCGUCUCGCCCCGAUCUGAAGCGUUGCAACAAUGUCGAUGGCUCCUUUGCACCUUGCCUGGUGACUCCCAUGAUGCCGGGCAGAGCAUACUGGUACCGAGUAGCGUGUACUGGGCCAGGAGUGUCCUUUGUGCCAGCAUCUUUGCUCCAGAACACGCGGUAGCAGGAGUUUACAGACCCCAUUCCGCAGUUUCCGCCACUCCCUGGAACACCCUUCCCUUGCUGCAGUUCUACUUGAAGGCUAUUGGUGCAGAGCAUUAUGGGUACUGUUGUGCAUCAUGCUACUCAACUCUCUGCACAGGCCAGUGUGGAAGUCAAUAAUCGGAUAGUGUGAGGAGAGUUGAUGAUCUGUGCUGUAAAGCACUUGUGGGUAGUCUGUGAGCUGAAACAACAGGUAUACGAGACAAGAUUGCGCAGGCAGCCACAAAAGGAUCCUUGCACUGCACUAGAAUAAGUGUGACCAAGUUUCAAGUUUUAUUAGUCGUAUGUACAGGAUACACAGUGAGAAUGGCAGAAUGGUGAACUUACUAAAUGAAAUGAGAGGUUGACUGUGUGAUAUUAGGUUGCUUCUUGUGUAAAUAUUUUCUGUCUGGAUUUUAACACUCCAAAAUAUACCGUAACCCUAAAGAUCUUUAUUUAGGGUCCAAUGAAAUGCUUACUUGCAGGUUCCUUCUGGACAAUGCAACAAGAAUAAGAAAUAAUACAAGAUAAGAAUACGAACAUAAAGUAAAUGGUUCAGUAGAAUAUAAUGAAAUGUUUAGCAUAAGUAUAAUAACAAAGCUAUGAACAAUAAAACCAGUUCAAUCAAAUUGUGGCAAAUGACUACUACAGUUUUGUGAUAUGAAGUGGAGUGGAUCCUGAGGAUGAACAUUUUGGACGGAGGUUUUUGUUCUUGGACUAACAAGUGGGCUUGUCUGGCAGCAGCAGCUUAGAGUAUCCUCACAGUGCUCUCUCGCUCUGCAAUCAGGACAGCUCAGACGUAGAAUCACUCUGUUGGAGCCCACACUCAAAGAAUUACAGCAGGGAACCUUUCUCAGCGUCCCAUUUAAGUGAAGGGUAAUUACAUUAAGGCCCUUUGUACACGAGAAGAAGACAUGAUGGUCUGCAAGCAGAGAGAUCAGGGCUCAGAGUCGAACACUGGGCAAUUUAUUGUCAAUUUGGACCAUUUGAAAAACCAUGGAUGGAGCUAAUGUCCAAACUCUAUCCAGGUUGUUUUUCAUUUUACCUUUCUUAAACUAGGCAAGUUAGUUAAGAACAAAUUCUUAUUUUCAAUGACAGCCUAGGAACAGUGGGUUAACUGCCUUGUUCAGGGGCAGAACGACAUUUGUACCUUGUCAGCUCAGGGAUUCAAUCUUGCAACCUUUCGGUUACUUGUCCAACGCUCUAACCACAAGGCUACCUGCCCCGCUGUGUCUCAGUAACACUGAUGUGCUGAACAUUUUACAGGGUUUGGGUUAGCUCAAUAAAUGAUCUCCCUCCAUUUACUGCAGUUGCUAUUCCAAUGAAAUAAGUGAGACUUUAUACCACACAUUAAAUAAGAGUCUUUUAUAUAUCUACACAUAGUGACACAUUAGAUCCGCCAUAUAAAACAGGUUGAACAUCCUUCUCAAGGCCCUGCCAGAGAAUAGAGCAUCAUUCAUUUAGCUAAUAACAUCACUGGUCAUGUCAUUAAGACGACACAUUAUUCUCUCGUUAGACGGAAAGCAAUCAGUCUUUGAGCUGCUUUACUUGAUCGUCUGGGUCUGAACAUUCCAGUAGGCUGGCAACAAACAGAAGCGGCAAUUGGGUCUGAAGGAUGAUUUGCUGCAGCAUGUGCAAUACUUGGCCACUUGAAGAGAUGUGUGCCUGCUGCAAAUGCUGGUGACACUUUACAUAUACCUGCUGUUAACAUAUGCACACUGUAACAUCGGGACCAGAGAAGCCAAGAGUCUGUCUAUCUUUCUCACUAUUUUUAAUGACAUGCUCUCUCUGUCUCUCUCCCUCUCUCUUUCACUGUCUCUAUCUAUCUCUCUCUCAAUGUAUGCUCACACAUACGGACACACACACACACACACACACACACACACACACACACACACACACACACACACACACGGCCCAGCUGCGUAGCUAGUUUAUUAGAUAAUGAGCAGGUAGGAGAGACAGUGCUGUCUACUUGGCCAUCUGUGAGGGCGCCUCCCUGUCCAGGUUAAAGGAGCUUUAGGAUUAAACACUCCCACCACGCUAUGUGGAUUAAUCACUACUCAGGACUAACCUAAUUAAUCCAAGAGGGAUAUGUCACUAGUGUAUGCCAACAGUCGCCACAGUCGCUUACAGUCUCCUCUAACCUCAUAGCACCCCAUUCCUUUGGUAGUGCACUACUUUUAGCCAGAGCGCACCCUAUUCACUUCAUAGUGCACUACUUUUACCUAGAGCGCUCCCUAUUCCCCAUGCAGUCCCCUACUUCUGGCCAGAGUCCAGCCUGUUUCCUAUGUAGUGCACUCUAAAGGCUCUGGCCAAAAGUGGUGCACUGUAUAGGGACUAAGGUGCCAUUUCAGAUAUGGCCUGUUUCCUAUGUGAUGUGGAGGAAGAGGGAAGGCUUUCCAUCCUCUUACUGCGUCUGAAGUCACACAGUGUCUCCUUAGACAUAUUCUGGUCAAGCCAGGUUCAUCAACACCGAGAGGAGCCAUGGAAAUCCCCCUGCUUAGAGUCAAGAGAAAGAUGGAGAACGAUUCUCUUUGUUCUCUUUUUUUAUUUCUCUCUCUCUCUCUCUUUGUCUUUCUCUCCUACUCUCUUUCUCUCUCUCUCUCUCUCUAGUUCUCUCCCUUUCUUUCUCCUAUUUCUCACAGGCACACAUACAGACACAAACACACAGACAGAAAAAUUAACACAGGCACACAUACAGACACAAACACACAGACAGAAAAAUGAACACAGGCACACAUACAGACACAAACACACAGACAGAAAAAUGAACACAGGCACACAUACAGACACAAACACACAGACAGAAAAAUGAACACAGGCACACCAACCAACUCUCUCCAGUCUCUCAGGUUUAACCCUGAGAGGGGAAUGUGUAAUUAUUGUGAUUAAUAGAUAAUCUAUGAUAGGCUUUAUCUUUGGAUUCAUCUACACAGGCGCAUUCUCCUAUGGCUAUCCCAAAGAAUAACCCUUCUGUACAAUAUAGCCACUAUCUUGCACAGUAUAAGCACUCCUUCUAUUCGUGAUCUGAACCACUGUUAUAUCUGUUGCAAGUUGAUCUCAAACCACAUCCUUUAUCAUAGAAACAAGUCUGGUUUAGAUUAUCAACCAGUCUGAAUUGCCCUUAUUCAAAUCUUUCUGAUAACAUUUUUUGGUCAUUCCCAACAUUUCUUCAAUUGAUCUGAUAAACUAUUCAUGUGAAGGUCUGUUUAUACACGCUAAUAAACCAUUAUCAGGUACUUUGUUAACCAACAUAUCAUGUGUGUGUAAACCAUGAACGGUAACACUGCUUACAGCCAGUGGGUAUAAUGCUUCAUUACUUGUUAUAAGAAUAAUGAGCCCUAGGGCGCUGUUUUGCGUAGUCAUGUGACAUGCCUGGAUUUUAAACUUUAUUUAAAGCUUUUUCAUCAAACUGUCCCAUUUUCUUUUUAUGUCAGAUGAUCUGGAUAAUAUCUUAUUAUAAUACUUACAAUAUGUUAUGUGUUUAUAUGCUGUAAAAAAAAGGGUCCGACUAAAAAUAGCUGUUAUUUAGUUGGAAUCAUUAUGAUAUUAUAAUAACACAAAGGAGUUAUAGUCUUAACCAUUUACAAAUAGCUGCUAUUUAGUUGGAAUCAUUAUGAUAUUAUAAUAACACAAAGGAGUUAUAGUCUUAACCAUUUACAAAUAGCUGUUAUUUAUUUGGAAUCAUUAUGAUAUUAUAAUAACACAAAGGAGUUAUAGUCUUAACCAUUUAAAAAUAGCUGUUAUUUAGUUGGAAUCAUUAUGAUAUUAUAAUAACACAAAGGCGUUAUAGUCUUAACCAUUUACAAAUAGCUGCUAUUUAGUUGGAAUCAUUAUGAUAUUAUAAUAACACAAAGGAGUUAUAGUCUUAACCAUUUACAAAUAGCUGUUAUUUAGUCAGAAUCAUUAUGAUAUUAUAAUAACACAAAGGAGUUAUAGUCUUAACCAUUUACAAAUAGCUGCUAUUUAGUUGGAAUCAUUAUGAUAUUAUAAUAACACAAAGGAGUUAUAGUCUUAACCAUUUAAAAAUAGCUGUUAUUUAGUUGGAAUCAUUAUGAUAUUAUAAUAACACAAAGGAGUUAUAGUCUUAACCAUUUAAAAAUAGCUGUUAUUUAGUUGGAAUCAUUAUGAUAUUAUAAUAACACAAAGGAGUUAUAGUCUUAACCAUUUAAAAAUAGCUGUUAUUUAGUUGGAAUCAUUAUGAUAUUAUAAUAACACAAAGGCGUUAUAGUCUUAACCAUUUACAAAUAGCUGCUAUUUAGUUGGAAUCAUUAUGAUAUUAUAAUAACACAAAGGAGUUAUAGUCUUAACCAUUUAAAAAUAGCUUACUAAUGUUUAAUAAACAAUGACCUACAAAAAUGUUCAGCAAAUCAUUAACUGGUGAUUUAUAAAUGAUCUAUAAAUGGCUUAUAAAUUAACACUAUUAUAAAGCGUUACCAUCAUUUGCCCAGCAAAGAAUAACCAAAUUCCCCUUUUUUGAUGAAAAAGAAAGCAAGCUGUUUAUUAAUUACAAUGUGUAAUGAGCGUCUCCUGUGUUACUGUGGGUCUUCUGUCAGUCAGAUAGUGAACAUACAGAAUGUGUAAUGAACGUCUCCUGUGUUACUGUGGGUCUUCUGUCAGUCAGAUAGUGAACAUACAGAAUGUGUAAUGAACGUCUCCUGUGUUACUGUGGGUCUUCUGUCAGUCAGAUAGUGAACAUACAGAAUGUGUAAUGAACGUCUCCUGUGUUACUGUGGGUCUUCUGUCAGUCAGAUAGUGAACAGGCAGAAUGUGUAAUGAGCGUCUCCUGUGUUACUGUGGGUCUUCUGUCAGUCAGAUAGUGAACAUACAGAAAAAAAGACAUUUAAAAAAUUCAUGUUAAAUAAUCUAUUAUAACUAGCUUUUAGAUCAAAUCAAAUGUAUUUAUUUACUACUAUGAGUGGUUAAAUAUGGAGGCGUAAGCUACAAAAUGUACCUUAUGAUACUGUUUAGUUGGUACGGCUGUUUUUUAAUCUGCUGCUGUGCUUUUGUUACAUAGUUUUUCCAUGUAGAAUUAAUAAGAGUUGGCAAGUGGCCCUUUUUCUCAGUCCUUUAAAAAUAAAUCCCACAUGCCACGCCAAUGGUGAGAACAAGGUUUUGACAUCUCUGUCUCACACAUAUUAUGUGUGAGUGGGCGCUUUUACAAGAACUGUCAAAGUUAACAUUUACGUUGUUUUGCAGACGCUCUUAUCAAGAGCAACUAGGGUUAAGUGCCUUGCUCAAGGGCGCACAUCAACAGACUUUUCACUUAGUCAGCUUGGGGAUUCAAACCAGCAACCUUUUAGUUACUGGCCCAAUGCGCUUAACCGUUAGGCUACCUGCUGCUCUAACGCGUUAAUAACGGCUGAUAUCUUUAAUGCCAUUCAAUUCUUUGACGUCGUUAAUCACAUCUCCAUUUCUUCACCGCACAGACCAUUUUAAGCACACGCGUUUCUGCAUGGACCCCUUUAAGUGCAACACACAACACGCUCUGUGCUGUAGCUGUCUGUCUCUAUUGUGUUGCUCAAACAUCCACUAGCUUCUUGAUUCAACUAACUUCACACAAUUGAUUUAAUCAGAACAAGACAUCCAUUCCAUGCAUUAACUGUUUUUGUUGUUAUCUCAGGUUAAAAAGAUUUAAACAAAUUAUCCCAAUUCUAAUAGCAGCUUGUGACUAGUUCAUGUUGAAGAACAUGGAUCAGUAGCCUAGGAAAGAUCUAAUAGCUGUAUUAUAUUUGACAUGAACUAAGACCUGGCUGAUCUGUUGUUAUUGUCUUCUGGGUUUAAAUGCUCUUUGUUCUUUGUAUCCAUAGACCCAGUCGGUACUAGAUGUGGUGACCCCAUCUGGUGAAAAAAACCUGUGGUUACCCCAUUGGCUAACUGCAAAAACUGUGCUCACAGCAAAACAGAAAUGUGCUCAUUCCUAGUCAGUAAAAGAUAGAAAGUCGCCUGUGGGGAAUACAACCUGUAGUUACCUAGGUUACCCCAUUGGCUCACAGAAAAACUUGACCUUUUUCAAACGCAAUUUUCUUGUUGUCUGCUUGUUUUAGUCAAUUACAUAACUACAUUUAAGAAAAGUACAACAUGUCUAAAGAUGACUUUUCAACAUUACCUGCUCCUGAGCGUUCUCACUACUUAGAAAAACAUAAUAUUGUAGGCCUUCCCUCAUGCCUCUUUUCAUAACGAUGCUAACAGACACUUGAGUGAGUGAGUGCUAGCUAUCUACUGACCGGAACAUUAAGCUAGCUAAGACCAACAACACAAACAAACAGACUAUACAGCUACAAGUAGUGAGUGGAGUUACAAACAGACAGUACUAAACAAGUUAAAUGUCUUACCUGUGAUGACAUUUUUUCCACACACAAAGCUACGUGUAGCCUGAAGUGUGUGUGUGUGCACGCAAGUGUUAAACUUCAAGAACAUUGAUAAGAGGGAGUAGGCCUACUUAAACAUUGGGAGCAUUAAUAGCUGUAUGUUACAGUGACUUUUGUGUUGUUUAUGGUGAAAAUGCUAUUUAAACAUUCUGAUGAAGAUCAUUUUGUGUUGUUUAUGGUGAAAAUGCUAUUUAAACAUUCUGAUGAAGAUCAUUUUGUGUUGUUUAUGGUGAAAAUGCUAUUUAAACAUUCUGAUGUGGAUCCCUUUGUGUUGUUUAUGGUGAAAAUGCUAUUUAAACAUUCUGAUGAAGAUCAUUUUGUGUUGUUUAUGGUGAAAAUGCUAUUUAAACAUUCUGAUGUGGAUCCUUUUGUGUUGUUUAUGGUGAAAAUGCUAUUUAAACAUUCUGAUGUGGAUCCUUUUGUGUUGUUUAUGGUGAAAAUGCUAUUUAAACAUUCUGAUGUGGAUCCUUUUGUGUUGUUUAUGGUGAAAAUGCUAUUUAAACAUUCUGAUGUGGAUCCCUUUGUGUUGUUUAUGGUGAAAAUGCUAUUUAAACAUUCUGAUGAAGAUCAUUUUGUGUUGUUUAUGGUGAAAAUGCUAUUUAAACAUUCUGAUGUGGAUCCCUUUGUGUUGUUUAUGGUGAAAAUGCUAUUUAAACAUUCUGAUGAAGAUCAUUUUGUGUUGUUUAUGGUGAAAAUGCUAUUUAAACAUUCUGAUGUGGAUCCCUUUGUGUUGUUUAUGGUGAAAAUGCUAUUUAAACAUUCUGAUGUGGAUCCCUUUGUGUUGUUUAUGGUGAAAAUGCUAUUUAAACAUUCUGAUGUGGAUCCUUUUGUGUUGUUUAUGGUGCCAUUAAAAUCCUCUGAUGCAGAUUAUUUUAUGUUUCUUUCCCUUACAAUCAAAACAUAGCAUGCCUAUAACUCAAUGCACUGCUUUUUAAAUGGAAAAUUGUUUAUUUAGGGACAAAUUUGGGCAAAUUCUAAAUUGCAAUUAAGGGAUGCCAUUAAGUUAAUUCAUUAUUUUAAUCGUUUGACAGCACUAGUUUAUACUGUACCCUAGUGAGUUAGGAGAGGGGUUGACUAAUUUAAAAAAAUGACCAGUGAUUGUCGCUUUGACAGUGCAUUAUAAAACCUUUCAUUUAAACUUUUAGAUAUAAAGAUUUAUAGGCUGGAAAAAAACAAUGCCAAAAUAUCAAGUCAACCUUGAUAUUUUUGAAAAUGAUGUUUUAGUAUAAUUCUCAGAAAGGAUAAGCCUACCGAUUUAGAUGAGAUGUUGCUAUAUUGUACACUAAGUGUUCAAAACAUUAGGAACACCUGCUCUUUCCAUGACAUAGACUGACCAGGUGAAUCCAGGUGAAAUCUGUGAUCCCUUAUUGAUGUCACAUGUUAAAUCCACUUCAAUCAGUGUAGAUGAAGGGGAGAAGACAGGUUUAAGAAGGAUUAUUAAGCCUUGAGACAAUUGAGACAUGGAUUGUGUAUGUGUGCCAUCCAGAGGGUGAAUGGGCAAGACAAAAUAUUUAAGUGCCCUUGAACGGGGUAUGGUAGUAGCUGCUAGGCACACUGGUUUGAGUCAAGAACUGCAACGCUGCUGGGGAUUUCACACUCAACAGUUUCCCGUGUGUAUCAAGACGGUCCACCAUCCAAAGGACAUCCAGCCAACCAAUGAAUUGAGGCUGUUCUGCGGGUGCAACUCAAUAUUAGGAAGGUGUUCCUAAUGUUUUGUACACUCAUUGUAUACCAAACCUAGCUUGGUUUCUCAGGUUCUAUGUGGGGGAGUUUUUUAAUACAUAUCUUACAGGAAACCACCUAUUUAUAAUGAUAGAAUUGUAUGUCUUUCUCUUUUAAGUGUAUACUUGUUCAGAAUAUCUCAGAUUGAUGAUGUACUGCAUGUAAACAAAAACAUUUACAAUUGCAUUUGCAACAUUGCUGUUUUCCAACAAUAAAGAUUCCGAAACCUGUCUUUCUGUUGUUGUUGUUUAAAGUUAUUCUGACAUUUUCUGACUUGAAAAUGGAAACGCUUAGGAAUGGGAAUGGAAAUCAUACUUAUUGUUUUAAUCUAUGAGACUAUGACAAUUAUUUCACAAUAAAUACAGUAGAACACCAGUGGUAAUAGGGUUGGAAAAUAAAAUGUGAACUAUCCCUUUAAGUUAACACACAUAAUAUCAGCAAAACCUCCAAAAGGAUCCUGUUCACACACAUCGCAAAUGUCAAAUUGCUAGAUGAUUGCUAGAAAAUGUUAUUGAACUACAAUAAGGUGACAGACAUUAAAACAUAAUAUAAACAGCAGUCAGUGGUGAUGCAGGUCAAGUAUAUCCAAGUGUUAUGAUUGUGAAUACAAACCUGACCAUAUGCACUGUAGUAUACAAAUGUAUAUGAACAAACUUCCCUUCCC
rnacentral:lncRNA from 1 species